UAUAUGUAUUGCAUGUUGACACUAGAGCUGAGGAAUCACUUCAGCUUUGGUAAUUUUGCUUCUGUACACAACCACAAUUUAUUUGAAACGAAGUAAUCAAGACGUGGUUGAAGUGUAGACUUUCCACUUUAUUUCGUUGGGUUUAACAAAAAUAUUGCAUUAACUGGAAUUACAGCCAUUUUUACAAGGGCUCAAAGUAAUUGGACAAUUGACUGAUAAGCAGUUUCAUAGCUUCACAACAGGUGCGGCUUGUUUCCUUAUUUCAUGACAAAUUAAGGAGAUAAAAGUUCUGAUGCUAUACUUUCUGCUCAGAUUCAGUCAAUUGCUGCUGAUAGGAGAGUGUUUCACAGUACAGAUGGUUAGUGACCCAAAAUGUAGUGCGAAAGCAAGAGCUUCUUAAGGCAAAUAAAUUAAAUGUUCUUAAAUGUCAGAUGACCUCAACUCCAUUGAGCAUGCUUUUCACUUACUGAGAGCAAAACUAAAGGCAGAAAGGUCUACAAACAUACAGCAACUGAAGGCCGGUGUAGUAAACACCUGGCAAAAUAUCUCAAGGUUUGGUGAUCUCCAUGGGUUCCAGAUGUCAGGCAGUCGUUGUAUGUAACGGAUUUGCAUUAAAGUAUGAAAAUCAUAUUAUUUAUGACUGUUAGUUUGUCCAAUUACUUUUGAGCCUGUGAAAAUGGAGGGACUCUAAUGACUGUAAUUCUUGUUAAAUUCCAGUUAAUGCAAUAUCUUUGUUAAAUCCUUUUGAAGUAAAGCUGAAAGUCAACACUUCAAUCACAUCGUGAUUGCUUCAUUUCAAAUCCACUGUAGUGUUGUACAGAGGCAAAAUCACAAAAAUUGUGUAACUGCCCAAAUACUUAUGGCCCUGCCUGCAUAACUUUAGCUGAGGAUAAUCUAAGGUUUUACAAUUGACAAUUGCAGUGAUGCCACAUACAGAUACUCUGUGCUGAGGCGGAUGGAGGAGCAGAGAGAGGAAGAAUCUGAUGAGGAUCUUUUGGAAUGAAACCAGGCGUGAUGUGGAAUUAUUAUUAGUAUAAAAAAAACAAUAAUAAUUCUCAGGAUUUUCUUCAGAAACAGUUUGUCCUUUUCAGCCCCAUCUUCCUUCUGUCCUUAGUUUUAAUGCCAAAACUAUUAUGGGUUUUUAAAGGUCACAUGGUGCUGGUUAAUGUUGUAAAUGUGAAUGGCAAGAUUAUUUAUUAAGAACUGCCUUCAGGAUCCAGAGUGAAGCGAUCAAAAAGUUUGGAACUGUGAAACACAGCCAAUGAGUCUGAGAUUUUAUUUAUUUUGUUGUUGUUAUUGUUUGUUACAGGAAAAUACAACCCACUAUUUUCAAUGUUACUCUAAUUUUUGAGUUUUAAUGGGUUGAGAAUAUGUUUGAUCUAAACCUUAACAACUCAAAAGCAACCGAACAUAACCUAACUUGAACCUAAUGUGUCCUGUUGGUGGAAAUUUCAGGAAUUAAAAGCUACAUGGCUCUGAUAAAUGGUCCAAAUAAGAUUGUACAUGUUUAAAUAAUAAGUCUAAUAUUUGACUAGUUGGAUCUUGUUUAAAUAAAUCUGAACUAAGGGGGUCCAUGGAAUUUAUUAAAGUUAAAGGGGUUCUUGGCUGCAAAAAGUUUGAGAACCUCAGCACUACAGUAUAACACAAUAAUUAAAUGGGCUUUGUCACUAUCCUUAAUCUGUAUUCCCACUAAUUAUAAGGAAUUUUAUGCUGAAAGUUUUUCCUCAUUGCUUAUUGUGUGUAGUGUAGGUAAAACAUUGCAUUUUUUUCACAUUAAGAUUUAUGGGCAAUUGUCUAAUCAGGUGACUCCCCUUGGGCUUUUGCGCAUAUUUGCUUUAGUUAAGGAUUUUGUAUUUCUUUCAGUUUUUCUAAAUGUGAGUAGGGGUUACAUAUGUGUUUGGUCUACCAGUAUGGUUAGCACAUUUUCCUCGCACCUUUGGGGUGCCAGGAAAUCCCCGCCUCUGCCCUGUGCAUGCAGAGCUGGCAUGUUCUCCCCAUGCUUCAGGGGUUUCCUCUGGGUACUCUGGUUUCUUCCCCCAGUCCAAAGACAUGCACUAUAUGUUGAUUGGCAUUUCCAAAUUGUCCUUAGUGUGUGAAUGGGUGUGUGCGAUUGUGCCCUGUGAUGAGUUGGCACCCUGUCCAGGGUGUCCCCCUGCCUUGUGCCCCGAGUUCCCUGGGAUAGACUCCAGGAUCAGCCUUGUGUAGCAUAAGUGGUACAGAAAUUGGAUGGAUGUUAAAUCAGUCUUGGGUUAACGUAUAUUGUUAGAUAAGUUAAACAAGGUUCUUUCUGUGUCAUUUUGUGUUGUAAUUGUUUUGUUUUGCUGCCUGAGAAUGUGAGUAGAUUUCCUUGUUAGAUUUUGUUGACUGUGUGAUUUAUGUAGUGCUUCAUUGUAUGAAUUGAUAUGUACCUCUGAAACACCUGAGAGAAAUUUUAUGACCUGAAAUUGUUUGAGUAAUUGCUGAAAAUUCACCACUCAGGAUUAAAGUUAUUUCAAACCCCAUUGUUUAUUUGACUCACAUUUAGUCAUGUCUGUCUGUCUGUCUGUCUGUCUGUGUCUGUGUGUGUGUCUCUCUCUCUCUCUCUGCGUGCAUGUGCAGUGCAGUGGAAGAGCAAGCGUGACGUGUAGAGCGCGUGAGAGCAGUUUGGCGUCUUCUCAAAGUUUUCUGCGACAUUGUCUUUUUGCUUUUGUUUCAUUUAAUUAUUGAAUGUUUAAGUUAUGUAAGUAGCAGUAGCCGGUAAAAGUUGAGAGCGGGUGGGAGUGAGCGGGCGUCCCGCUCUCUGAGGCCGGAGGGGAGACGCUGUCUCUCCGCCAUGGCGUCAGGUGUGUGCCGGAGGAUGGAGAACAGGUGGAGGAGGUUCUGCUAGCGGUGGGAGAGCAGGUCCGGUGGGAGAGCAGGUCGGGUGCGAGAAC
ensembl:lncRNA